GGGGGCGCGGGGGACGCGCCGGGCUGGGCUGUGGGGUCGACCCCCUGCCUCUCUUCUCCGCGGGUGUGCAGAUCGCCGCCGGCCGAGGCUUGCCGCCGCCGCCCCGACUGGGGGAAUGAGCAGGCGCCAGGUCUUGAAUUCCUGUCAGGGCCGGUCUGGGGGCUCCCUGCUGAAGCCCCUGUCCCUGAUCCCGCAACCUCCCGCGUGCGUUGGGAAGGGGUCGCGGGUAGCGGCCGUCCUUUGGAUGCACGUGUGAUGGCUUUUGGCUUAAUUUCACAUUGUUUUGUUUGUUUUUUGAGACAGGGUCUCUUUCGCCCAGGCUGGAGUGUGAUCACGGCUACUGCAGCCUCGAUCUCCAGGGCUCAAGUGAUUCUCUCACGUCGGCCUCGCAGUAACUGGGACCACAGACAUGAGCCACCAUGCCUGGCUUUUUUUUGUUUUGUUUUGUUUUGUUUUUUGUAGAGACAGGGCGGGGUGUGAGACUCUCAUCUUGUUGCCCAAGCUGGUCUCCUGAGCUCAAGGAUCUGCCCUCCUCGGCCUCCCAAAGCGCUGGGAUUACAGCUUGAUACCCUACCUUGUUUUAACCUGAUUGACUCGCUCUUAGCUGAGAGAGCGGGACAGACUCCAUUUUGGUUUCUUCGCUUGCAGCACCUUGUCCCCCUCCCUUAAGGACAUAACUGGUGCAGACUGACACCAAGCACAUCCAGGAAUGUGCUUACUGAUAAGAUACUGAGGCAAGCUGUACCAGCAGCUCCUGGGAACGCGCUCGGUUGAUGGUACCCAAAGCCCCUGCGUUUAUCUCUUUGUGAUAAUUUAAGCCCCAUGCACCUGGAACUGUUUAUUUUCCUGUAACUGUUUCUAUAACCAUUUAUCUUUUAACUCUUUGCCUGUUCUGCUUCUGUAAAAAUUGCUUCAGCUAGACUACCCCUUCCCUAUUUAGACCAAGGUAUAAAAAGAAAUCUAGCCCCUUCUUCAGGGCCGAGAGAAUUUUGAGCUGUAGUCGUCUCUCGGUCGCCGGCAAUAAAGGACUCCUGAAUUAGUCUCAAA
rnacentral:lncRNA from 1 species